CCAACCUGCCGUCUACUCUUGGACAGCCUUCUGAAAGGAAGAUUAAUACAAGAUGGCAUCAUGAGUCCACAUGUUCACAUGAUUAAAGGUAUUCCGGUAGACGAUGGGGAUGCGUUCCAUUAGAUAGUAGGCGGGGUAACGGCCCACCUAGUCUUCGAUGGAUAGGGGUUCUGAGAGGAAGGUCCCCCACAUUGGAACUGAGACACGGUCCAA
rnacentral:rRNA from 1 species